AGUGAACGCUGGCGGUAGGCCUAACACAUGCAAGUCGAACGGCAGCACAGUAAGAGCUUGCUCUUACGGGUGGCGAGUGGCGGACGGGUGAGGAAUACAUCGGAAUCUACUUUUUCGUGGGGGAUAACGUAGGGAAACUUACGCUAAUACCGCAUACGACCUACGGGUGAAAGCAGGGGAUCUUCGGACCUUGCGCGAUUGAAUGAGCCGAUGGCGGAUUAGCUAGUUGGCGGGGUAAAGGCCCACCAAGGCGACGAUCCGUAGCUGGUCUGAGAGGAUGAUCGGCCACACUGGAACUGAGACACGGUCCAGACUCCUACGGGAGGCAGCAGUAGGGAAUAUUGGACAAAGGGCGCAAGCCUGAUCCAGCCAUACCGCGUGGGUGAAGAAGGCCUUCGGGUUGUAAAGCCCUUUUGUUGGGAAAGAAAAGCAGCAGGUUAAUACCCCGCUGUUCUGACGGUACCCAAAGAAUAAGCACCGGCUAACUUCGUG
rnacentral:rRNA from 1 species